GCCCCUGUUUGCCGCCAGCCAUAGCGAGUCUAUGAAAUACAAACAUACAGUUCUAAUUACAUCAAGCAGAGGAUAAGGGGAGGCAGCUUGAGUUCAUUACAAUGAAAGAUAAGCAAUUGCACGGGGCUGAAACCAGAAAUUGAGGACAAAGCCAGAGGACAAACUCAAACUGCAUCUUCAAUCAAUGCUGGCCAAAAUACCCCAUCCAUACUUGACAUAUGUUUUUAAAAAUGGGAGAACUUCAGAAUAUUUUCAAUAACCCUUGCCAAAAAGAUCUGAGAUUAGAAAAAAAAAAAAAAAAAAAAAAAAGCCUUACGCAAAGAUUGACGCUGCCUUCCACCUUUUCCCAUUGGCUUCCUGGUCAACGGAAGACAAAACAGUGUCUUCUUCGAUGUACCUCCAAGCUGCUCUUUUCAGUGGGCCAGGGUGUCUAUUUUCAGUAAUAUAAAUCAAGAUGUAGGCUGAGAAUGAAGGUAUGAUACUGAAUCAACAUUUGAAGAAGAAAGAAGUUCAAUGGAGAAAGGCAUUAAGAUUAGAAGAUAGCAUACUCUGUAAACAUCUAUCCUCAGCUCACAAAGUGGGAAAAUAAUGAGUUUUUACACUCAGUUUUCCUAGUUAACAGAAGUUCUUUUUCAAAGCAAAACACUCAGGAAUUUCAUCAAGCAAAGCCAUGACAGUUUUCAUCAGUCCACAGGUAUGAAAUCAUACAUGCAAAUCAUAUGGGAAUUACUGGUUUAGAGAAUGGCUUAGUGACACACCAAAGACUAAAACUGAUCUUCUUGCUACAGUUAUAAGACUAUACUCGCCUCUGAAUCAUAUUUCAUAAGACAGUAUUUUUCUACAUGUUUACAGUUAAAUGACUGCACAAAAAUGAAG